UGGAUCAUGGGACUGUUUCUCACAUACUGUUCUUGUGGUAGUGAAUAAGUCUCAUGAGGUCUGAAGGUUUUAUAAGGGGUUUCUCCUUUCACUUGGCUCUCAUUCUCUCUUGCCUGUUGCCAUGUAAGAUGUGCCUUUUGCCUUCGAUCAUGAUUGUGAGGCUUCCCCAGCCACAUGGAACUACUCCAGGUUCUUCAACUUCGUGACUCGGACUGGCUUCUUUGCUCUGAAGAUUGCAGACAGCCUAUUGUGGGAGCUCACCUUGUGAUUGUGUUAUGUUUAAUUUCUUCACACCACUCAAAACUCAGCUUCUGAUUUCAAGAGUUCAACAACAGCCCUGAAGGAUUCUGUCUGCUUUACAGCUAUGUAAAAUAUGUUUAAUCUUCAGAUUCCUACAAGUUCCAGAUGACAAUGGAAUAUAAAAGACACAGUUAAUAGUUCUUUAUAUUAUACUUUAAGUUCUAGGGUAUAUGUGCACAACAUGCAGGUUUGUUACAUAUGUAUACAUGUGUCAUGUUGGUGUGUUGCACCCAUUAACUCGUCAUUUACAUUAGGUAUAUCUCCUAAUGCUAAUGCUAUCCCUCCCCCCUCCCCCACCCCACAACAUGCCCUGGCGUGUGAUGUUCCCCUUCCUGUGUCCAAGUGUUCUCAUUGUUCAAUUCCCACCUAUGAGUGAGAACAUGCAGUGUUUGGUUUUUCGUCCUUGUGAUAGUUUGCUGAGAAUGGUGGUUUCCAGCUUCAUCCAUGUCCCUACAAGGACAUGAACUCAUCAUUUUUAUGGCUGCAUAGUAUUCCACGGUGUAUAUGUGCCACAUUUUCUUAAUCCAGUCUAUCAUUGAUGGACAUUUGGGUUGGCUCCAAGUCUUUGCUAUUGUAAGCACCGUCAAAAAGUGAGCGAAGGAUAUGAACAGACACUUCUCAAAAGAAGACAUUUAUGCAGCCAACAGACACAAGAAAAAAUGCUCAUCAUCAUUGGCCAUCAGAGAAAUGCAAAUCAAAACCACAAUGAGACAUCAUCUCACACAAGUUAGAAUGGCGAUCAUCAAAAAGUCAGGAAACAACAGGUGCUGGAGAGGAUGUGGAGAAAUAGGAACACUUUUACACUGUUGGUGGGACUGUAAACUAGUUCAACCAUUGUGGAAGACAGUGUGGUGAUUCUUCAGGGAUCUAGAACUAGAAAUACCAUUUGACCCAGCCAUCCCAUUACUGGGUGUAUACCCAAAGGAAUAUAAAUCAUGCUGCUAUAAAGACACAUGCACACAUAUGUUUAUUGCGGCACUACUCACAAUAGUUUAUAGUUCUUAAGGGUGUUGAUAUCACAAAAAUUAUUGUUUUUCUUAAUAACACCAAAUAUUUGUUACUGUGAUAGUUUAUAUUUUGAAAUGGGCCGUAUGGUUCUACAACAGAGAGUUUCCAAAAAAAAAAUAUCUUUUGGUUUAUUUUAUUCCCAGAGGCAGCUUCUGAAAAGCCACUCUGCCCUAAGAAGUCAGCCUACAUAAUUGAAGACAAGUGAUGUAAAUAAUUUGCCCUGUAUGCUGGUCCCAUGUUCCUGGACUUCUCAGUCUCCCCCAGAACUGUAAAAAAUAAAUUUCCUUUCUUUAUAAAUUACCCAGUCUGUGGUAUUCUGUUAUAGUAAAGGAAAACAAGCUAAGGCAUUAUGUUAAAUCUUGUAAAAAGAACCUCUUUCCUAUGAUUAGAGCUCCUCUCAUAUGCAUAUAGAAAUCCAAUGUUGAAGCUAUCAUAAUUCUACUGAACCAUCAACUUCAACCCACCCAGGUAAGAUUAUGCCUUCUUGAAUAUAAGAGAAACUUCCCCAAUCCCUUACCCAACCAAAAGGAUGAAUCUUCGAGAAAAAUAUCAAAAAGCCCUGCUUCAAAUCAGUAAAUAUUUGGUGGUAGGGCUGAUUUAAACUUUCACAAAUGUAACAUCAUAUUGAAUCACAUCACAUUGAAUUUGUAAUGAAAAAAUGUGUUCCCCAGACGUCUUAUGACCUCUGAAACUUGGAAACCAAGUUGGCAACUGAGGAAAAAACUAUUAUUUCCAUCAAAAACUAUGGCAACAAAAACAUGGUCAUGUUCAUUUUAAUUACUUCUGCCAUUUUACUUGUCCCUCUUUCUAGUUAUCUUUCUUAAGAAUAUUAAUCAGUCUAAAGAGAAUAAAUGAUUUAUUAUUUUCAGAGAGGUAGGUGUUUUGAACAGAUCUUAGAGCCAUGUGGGUCAGUGUUGUCAAUCCCAGAUUUAUCUGUUUAAAAUGCAUGCCUCAUGGACUUACACUUAUUAAUGUUAUAAUGUAGGUAAGAAUCUUACCCAGUGCUCAGUACAUACUAAGUUGUGGGUAAAACCUGCUUAUUACUAAUUAUUCAACAAUUCACAGAAAAAUGGAAAAUUCAGUUGUUCAAAUUAUCACCAAUAUGGGUGUUUUCUUUAUAAUGUGAUAAGAUUAUUUGAAUUUUAUGACACAUAUGCCAUGAAUUUAAGAUAAGUAUAAUAUGGUUGCUUUAAGUUUUUCUUUUUCAAUUACAAUAAUAAUAAUACAAACCUCCUUAGAUCUAUACACUUGAGAUAUUUAAAACACAAUGUGUAUGCAAAACAUCAUAACCUGGUUCCUCAAAUCAACAAGGGACUAUGAGUUUUAUUUGUAUGAGAGGUCUUGGACCUGUGGUAUUUUGUUUACUACUUAUCACUUUUGAUGGCCACCCAUUUGAAUAGAGAUCUAAUCUGGCUCUGGGGGCAGGGAAGAUCUUGGGACAGGAAAACUACCCCUUUCUUUAGGAGAUGGCCCAUUGAUCUUUGCUUUUAUCAGCUCCUGCAACUAUCAUUUGAAGGUAAAGAUCAAGUUAUUUACAAAUUGCUUUAGAUUGAAAGGCAUUAGACUAGGCAAGGUGAAAAUUAAGAGCUUGUGAAUACAUUGUAGGUGGAAAUAAUUUUUGGAAACGAUUUCCCAGUAUAUAUAAUACACAAUUUCUAAAAUGAACAAAAGUUUGAAAUAAGUUUUAAAUAAGAUGUUGAAAAGAUGUAAGCGUAGCUGCUUUAAUCUUAAUCAAUGCAACUUGUGAUGAGGUAAUGAAGAGCAGGCAAUCAGUCAGAACCCAAUCUACCCAAAUGAAAUCUCAAACAACAGAGGAUAUUUUUUACUUUAGUUUGUGUUAAGAGAGAUGGGCAAUGUAAGUGCUAUGCAGAUUUAAUGUGCUAAUGAAAUAAAUUCAUCAAGAUUUAAAUUAUGGAGGAAAUUAAAAUAAGAAACUGUUCUGUACACAAAAGAGACUAUGUCCCAAGAGAAUAUCCAGCCUUGGUAAAGAACAACCCUAAUGAAUUUUAGAAUAGAUUUACAAAAUAUUAUAUAUCACCUGUUUUUAAAGACUUUUUAUUCUUUAGUUUCCUUAGUCAGUCCCUAGAAUUUUUAUUUAGGAAAGACCCUAGAAAUAGAAAUCUGAAAUGCUCAGCCAACAAAAGCUUUGUGAAGUUGUUUGCCCAGCCAAUGUAUUGUUGGUGGUUAGAUCAUUAGUCUACUACUUCGAUUUUGGGUGCUCAGUGAAGUACCUGGAGGCAUUCAAGGGUGUGAGCACAGAUAAUUUAAGGGAAUUAAUUUCUAAUUUAAAUAAUUUCAUCUUUUAUGUUAAAUAUUUCCUAAGGCCAUUUGAUGGAGCUUCAAGUUCUAAUUUUCUUUUUUUUUUCUUUUGAGAUGGAGUGUUGCUCUGUCGCCCAGGCUGGAGUGCAGUGGCAUGAUCUCGGCUCACUGCAAGCUCCGCCUCCCAGGUUCAUGCCAUUCUCCUGCCUCAGCCUCUCAAGUAGCUGGGACUACAGGCACCCGCCACCACGCCUGGCUAAUUUUUUUUGUAUUUUUUAGUAAAGACGGGGUUUCACCAUGUUAGCCAGGAUGGUCUCGAUCUCCUGAUCUCGUGAUCUGCCCUUCCUCAGCCUCCCAAAGUGCUGGGAUCACAGGCGUGAGCCACCAUGCCCAGCCCAAGUUCUAAUUUUCUGCCAUGUUAUAAUAAACCUCUCCCAAUUUUUCAAAGUAAAAUAUCUGUUGCCCAGCACUAAACUAGCAGGGUGAUUGCCCCAGAAAAUUACAAAGAUCCUAGGCAUCACUACUGAGACCAAUCAAAAUGUUUUUAUAAUGAUUUUGAAAAAAUAAAGAAUUUUAAUGACAGGAUAAAAAAUAAAUACAUUUGAAAAUCAAAUGAUUCCAACUAUCAGUUUUCAACAAAACUAAAGAAUUUACCUACUUGGAUUGUUUGUUGAUAGGCCACUUAAAAAUAAUAUUUGCUGAAGAAUUAGAAUGAGACAUUUACAAACACCUGAAAAGAGUUGAAAGAAUUCAAUGUCAUUGCUAGAAUAGCACACUUAUCCUCAUCUAUUUGUUUAUGUGGACAAGUUAUUUCAAUACCUACAUCUAUAAAGAUGAGUGUAUUAGUUCAUUUUCAUAUUGCUGUUACAGACAUGCCCGAGACUGGACAAUUUACAAAAGAAAGAAGUUUAUCAGACUUACAGUUCUAUGUGGCUGAGGAAACCUCACAAACAUGGCGGAAGUUGAAAGGCACAUCUCACAUGGUGGUAGACAAGAGAAGAGAACUUGUGUAGGGAAACUCUGAUUUUUAAAACCAUCAGAUCUGGCGAGACUCAUUCACUAUCAAGAGAACAGUGCAGGAAAGACCCGCCCCCAUAAUUCAAUCACCUCUCACCAGGUUCCUCCCAUGACAUGUGGGAAGUACAAUUCAAGAUGAGAUUUGCUUGGGGGCACAGCCAAACCAUAUUAUUCCACCACUGGCCUCUUCUAAAUCUCAUGUCCUCAUAUUUCAAAAACCAAUCAUGCCUUCCCAAUAGUCCUCCAUAGUCUUAACUCAUUUCAGCAUUAACUCAAAAGUCUACAGUACAAGGUCUCUUCUGAGACAAGUCAAGUCCCUUCUGCCUAUAAGCAUGUAAAAUCAAAAGCAAGUUAGUUACAUCCUAGAUACAAUGUGGGUACAGGCACUGGGUAAAUACAGCCAUUCCAAAUGGGAGAAAUUGGCCAAAACAAAGGGGCUACAACCCCAUGUAAGUCUGAAAUCCAGCAGAGCAGUCAAAUCUUGAAGCUCCAAAAUGAUAUUUUGACUCAAUGUCUUACAUCUCAGUCAUGCUGAUGCAAAAGAUUGCUUCCUGUGGUCUUAGGCAGCCUCGCUCCUGGCUGUUUCCAUGGGCUUGUGUUGAGUGUCUGUGGCUUUUCCAGGCUCACAGUGCAAGCUGUCAGUGAAUCUACAAUUCUGGGUUCUGUAGAAUGAUGUCCCUCUUCUCACAGCUCCACUAGGUAGUGCCCCAGUAGGGACUCUCUGUGGGGACUCCAAACCCACAUUUCCCUUCCAUGCUGCCCUAGCAGAGGUUGUAUAUGAGAGCCCUGCCCCUGAAGCAAACUUCUGCCUGGGCAUCCACUCGUUUCCAUACAUCCUCUGAAAUGUAGGCGGAGGUUCCCAAACCCCAAUUCGUCACUUCUGUGUACCAGCAGGGUCAACACCAUAUAGAAGCUGCCAAGGCUUGGGGCUUGAAUCCUCUGAAACCAUAGCCCAAGCUCUAGGUGUACCCCUUUCAGCCAUGGCUGGAGUAGCUGGGAUGUAGGGCACCAAGUCCUGCGCAUAGCACUGGGACCCUGGGCCCGACCCACAUAACCACUUUUUCCUCCUAGACCUCCAGGCCUGUGAUGGGAGGGGCUUGUGAAGAGCUUUGAAAUGCUUUGGAGACAUUUUCCCUGUUGUCUUUGGGAUUAACAUUUGGCUCCUAGUUACUUAGGCAAAUUUCUGCAGCUGGCUUGAAUUUCUCCUUAGGAAAUGGGAUUUUCUUUUCUAACGCAUUGUCUGGCUGCAUAUUUUCUAAACUUUUAUGCUGUGCUUCCCUUUUAAAACUGAAUAGCUUCAACAGCACCCAAGUCACCUCUUGAGUGCUUUACUGCUUGGAAAUUUAUUCCACCAGAAACCCUAAAUCAUCUCUCUCAAGUUCAAAGUUCCACAAAUCUCUAGGGCAGAGGCAAAAUGCUGCCAGUCUAUUUGCUACAACAUAACAAGAGUCACCUUUGCUCCAGUUCCUAAAAAGUUCCUCAUUUUUAUCUGUGACCACCUCAGCCUAGACUUUAUUGCCCAUAUUUCUAUUAGCAUAUUGGUCAAAGGCAUUCAACCAGUCUCUAGGAGGUUCCAAACUUUCCAACAUUUUCCUGUCUUCUUCUGAGCCCUCCAAACUGUUCCAACCUCUGCUUGUUACCCAGUUCCAAAGUGGCUUCCACAAUUUCAGGUAUCGUUUCAUCAGUGCCCCACCCUACUGGUACCAAUUUACUGUAUUAGUCCAUUUUCAUGCCACUGAUAAAGACACACUUGAAACUGUGCAAUUUAAAAAUAAAGAGGUUUACUGGACUUACAGUUCCACAUGGCUAGGGAGACAUCACAAUUAUGACAGAAGGUAAAAGGUCCAUCUGACAUGGUGGCAGACAAGAGAAGAGAGCUUGUAUAGGGAAAUUCCCAUUUUUAAAACCAUCAGAUCUCGUGAGACUCAUUCAUUAUCAUGAGAACAGUGCAGGAAAGACCUGCCCCAUAAUUCAACCACCUCCUACUGGGUUCCUCCCAUGACACAUGAGAAUUGUGGGAGUUACAAUUCAAGAUUAGAUUUGAGUGAGCGCACAGCCAGACCAUGUCAAUGACCUAAAAAAUAGUAAGAAUAGAAUGUAUGGUAAACUCUGUCCCAUUGUAAUAAUAAAUUAAUCAUUAAUAUAAAUUACGUUCUCAUAGAGAGCUGUGUUUUCAAAAAUCACUUUAAUUUGUUAAAGUUGUUUAUGAAAACAUGAUAAGUUUACAUCAUUUAUAACAGGGACUAAUAAUUACUAGAAGAAUAACUUACUCUUGAUUUUUUUUAUUUACAGAU
rnacentral:lncRNA from 10 species